UACGUAGGGUGCGAGCGUUGUCCGGAAUUAUUGGGCGUAAAGGGCUCGUAGGCGGUCUGUUGCGUCGGGAGUGAAAACUCAGGGCUUAACCCUGAGCCUGCUUCCGAUACGGGCAGACUAGAGGUAUGCAGGGGAGAACGGAAUUCCUGGUGUAGCGGUGAAAUGCGCAGAUAUCAGGAGGAACACCGGUGGCGAAGGCGGUUCUCUGGGCAUUACCUGACGCUGAGGUGCGAAAGUGUGGGGAGCGAACAGG
rnacentral:rRNA from 1 species